rnacentral:rRNA from 1 species
GUGAGGAAUAUUGGUCAAUGGGCGAGAGCCUGAACCAGCCAAGUCGCGUGAAGGAAGAAGGAUCUAUGGUUCGUAAACUUCUUUUGCAGGGGAAUAAAGUGCAGGACGUGUCCUGUUUUGUAUGUACCCUGAGAAUAAGGAUCGGCUAACUCCGUGCCAGCAGCCGCGGUAAUACGGAGGAUCCGAGCGUUAUCCGGAUUUAUUGGGUUUAACGGGUGCGUAGGUGGUUUGAUAAGUCAGCGGUGAAAGUUUGCAGCUUAACUGUAAAAAUGCCGUUGAAACUGUCGGACUUGAGUGUAAAUGAGGUAGGCGGAAUGCGUGGUGUAACGGUGAAAUGCAUAGAUAUCACGCAGAACUCCGAUUGCGAAGGCAGCUUACUAAGCUACAACUGACACUGAAGCACGAAAGCGUGGGGAUCAAACAGGAUUAGAUACCCCUGUAGUCC